CCAAGAUGGCGGCAUUUUCGAAAAGGCCUAAGGAAGAACCGUCCUUGCACAUCCAGCUUGUGUUGGUUCAUUGAGAGCGCAUCGACUGAACACAACUGGAACCAACUAAGAGACCAACUGCAUCUAAAAUAAAGUCUUAAAGGAAAUGGUGCUGAGCAUCCAGCAGGAAGGGAUUCCUUCAAACUGAAGACAUCAACAACAUCCCGAAUAUACCACACGUAACGUGAGGUCGUAGGAAUGGGAGUGUGUGUGUGGAAAUGAUGCCAGAGUGACCCAUUACCAAGUGACCUUCCCUGAGGUGCUGGAUGUGGUGUUGAGACAUUGCAGGGCGUCUUUACCAAGGGAGUCUGCAGUAGCACCCAGAGCUGACCCUGACAUUGUGGGGGCUGGUGCCAUGCCGAAGGCUACUUUCUCACCCCAUAUGCCUGGGGAAGAGGCCAUAUGUGAGAAAGUAGCCAUCCGGCUCCCACAUCCAAAAUAUGGAUGCACUCAAAUGGGCCCUCCACAGAGAUCUGAACCCCUGCAGCCACAAAGGGUAAUUAUCUAACCCUGAAGAAAUGAGCACAAUAUCGGCCAGAUGCAGGCUGUGGACCAUAGAGAAAGUGAUGUCACGCUUUGGUGUAACACGCCAUGUUUUGAGGAUCCUGCUGCAUUUCUGUUGAUGCGGAAAUGAGCCGAUCUGUGAUUCAAAGUCCGUGAUCCAUCCCAAAGCGUGACGUUCCUGAAGUUGUACCCCUGAUGACAGCCAGAGGGUAAAACACCUCCACAUGUGAGAAGUCUGCACUCAUGAAUGUACCAGAUGAGAGAGACAGACCAGGCAAAACACCAUUCAAUUACAUCUGUUCACAAAAACAUCGGAGACUAUUCAGGUAUUCUAAACUAACUGGUAGUAUAGUAGGGACGUGUAUGGGAAAAAUGACACUUUAUACAGUAAAACAUAAGUAUCAUCUCAUUUCCAAGAAGGUUGUUUAAAAUAAUUUACAUUCUGAUGGCUGUAUUAAUAUAUGAGACAGUCAAAGACAUUAAAUAGAAUAAAUAAGGUUGGUCAUUUUCUAUAUUUAUACUUUAACACUCCCUAUACAGGGACUAAAGCCAGCGAUGAAUAGCCUCUACUCACUGUUCACGUCUCAGUCUCAAACCUGGAACAGCUUGUUCUAUAGAGUUCUGUUGUUUAAAAACACAGCAGUGAGUCACACCAAUGCACUGGGUGACAUCUUUUUUUUAUUACAUAACACCAGACCCACAUAUUUGUCAAAACUGUUGCCCCAAAAGCUCCAAACGACCAUAACUUUUCACAGUUCGCACGGAGAUCUCGUGCUUGUGCAGUUGCUACUUCAGACGCUGUAAAAAGUCAUGGUCAUUUGGAGCAAUGUUUUUAACAAAUAUUUGGCUCUGGUGUUUUGCAAUAAGGUGGGGGAGUCACCCAGUGCAGUGGUGGGUUUCACUGAUGUUUUUAAACAACAGUGGUCUAUUGCAUAGACAAUGAUCCAGGGUGGAGACUGACAGACACUAACCGUGAGUAGAGGUAAUUUAGUCUCUGAAUGGUGAUUGUUGAAAAUACUAUUAAUAUAAAAAGUGACCAGCUUUAUCCUUUAGUUAAAUAUUUUGGGGAAUAGGAUAAUUUGGUUCAGGCCCAAAGUUGGUACAGGAAGACUGGUAACAUUGAUGCAUCUGUACAGCUAAUGUGAAGCUACAACUAGUUGUUAGCUUAGGUUAGCACAAAGACUGGAAAACUGUCACCCCGGCUCUAUCCGUGGUACCAAAUCACCCUCGUAGUACCUCUGCAGUUAACACUAUCUUGUUUGUUUGAUCCUCGCCGAAGCGAAAGUGUAAGACGGCAUGCUGUGGUUUUAUAGGAGUUGCUGUACAGAUGCAGCAUGUUGAGUGGUAUUGAUCUAAAAAAAAAAAA